rnacentral:rRNA from 1 species
UACGAAGGGUGCAAGCGUUAAUCGGAAUUACUGGGCGUAAAGGGUGCGUAGGUGGUUUUUUAAGUCCGUUGUGAAAUCCCUGGGCUCAACCUGGGAAUGGCAGUGGAUACUGGAAAGCUAGAGUGCGGUAGAGGGUAGUGGAAUUCCCGGUGUAGCAGUGAAAUGCGUAGAGAUCGGGAGGAACACCAGUGGCGAAGGCGGCUACCUGGACCAGCACUGACACUGAGGCACGAAAGCGUGGGGAGCAAACAGG